rnacentral:piRNA from 1 species
UAAUCAGAUCUUGCUUGGUAAUGCCUUAG